GGGAAAGACGCGUGACUGGGCAGGCCUGCCGCACAGUUUGGAUUCAACCAGAAAGCUUGCGGCAACACCGGAGAAAGUGGCUGCUGUGAAGAGUGCAGAUUGGUGUGGGAUUUGUGAUGCCACUCAACAAGUGGCAUUACAUACUAAAGUGUACCUCCGAAGCCAAGUGCGCAUUAGGUCUGGCACAGCACCUGUGGACACCAACACAAGCUGGGGAAAGAAGCCCGACUGGGCCGGCCAGCCGGACUAUCUCUGAUGCAUCUGGGAAGCUUCUGGCGACACCAGAGAAAGUGGCUGCUGUGAAGAACUGCCUGGAGAAGUACAUCGGGGAACAUCCGAUGGGGCCACCAGCACCACCUCCAGAGCACCACCUUGCUUCUGUAACGAAGCACCUUUGGAGCUUCUUCACAGAAGCGGGCGCGAGGGCAAGCGAGUAUGGAAGACGUGAAUCGCCUUAACCUAUUGAAUUUUUUCAAUAAAGUGUGAAGAUAUAGAACAUAUUAUGGUGCUAUACAUUGAUUCCUUAUGGCAUGAAAAUGUAGUGGCAUACUUGGCCACAUGUAGAUACAGACUGCACACUUUGCAAGACUCAAGAACGCAUGAAGAUAGCCCAUCAUGAGCUUCCUAAGUGCAAUGGCUGCUCCUUCGAUUCAUUACACAACUUGCAUUUGACCUGAUGUGCCCACUGUUAUACCCAGCAUUCCACCCAUCGCCC
rnacentral:lncRNA from 1 species